rnacentral:lncRNA from 1 species
UGCUACCCCGCAAGAGCCCUACGUCUGGGAACAAGUGGCCGCAUCCUCCAGAAAAGCACUUGGCAUGCGGUACCGCCUUCUCCCCUACUUCUACAGCCUCAUGUUUGAAGCUCACAACAAGGGCGCUCCCAUUGCCCGGCCUCUCUUCUUUGCUUUCCCCGAGGACGCCCAGACCUUGAAGGUUAGCGACCAGUUCCUGCUCGGGAGCGGUGUCAUGGUAACCCCUGUUGUGCUUCCCAAGGUGACGACCGUGAAUGGCUACUUCCCCAAGGGCACAUGGUACAACCUCUUCGAUGUCGCCUCGAAAGUGGAAAGCGAGGGAAAGUAUGUGGAACUUGCUGCUCCAUUAGACUCCAUCAACGUCCACCUCCACGAGGGCACCAUUUUGCCGAUGCAAGAGAGCGCAUUGACAUCAGCCGAAGUGAUGAAGACGCCCUUCACGCUCAUGGUGGCAUUCCCAGCUUCGAAAUCCUUGGGGUAUGCCACAGGCAAGCUUUUCCUGGAUAAUGGUGACGAUAUCGAGAUGGUGAUUCGAAAGGGCAGGUCGACAUUUGUGCGGUUCUUCGCACAGCAGUCUGAGCAGAGAGGUGUCCUGGCGUCGAAGGUGGUGAGCGGGGACUACGCCACCCAGGAGGACUUGGUUGUGCAAACUGUGGUCAUCCUUGGGGCCAACAAUGCGCCGUCUUCUCUCACAAUCAACGGAGUGCCAGUGUCAUCACCCAUCUCCUCGUCGUUCGAUGCUGCAAUUCCUUCCGUCACCAUCUCAGGUCUGAGUUUGUCUGUUGGUAGUGAGUUUGAGCUCCACUGGACCACGCAAGCUCAUUCAACGAUCUAGACCGGAGCUCGAUCGAUUGCGCAUGUGGGAGCUGUCUGUUCGGAAAAUGGUGGAUAAACCGGAGCUGUAAAUUACGAGUCUAGAAUUGGUUUAUACAAUUUUGUGACGAGGGUCCACGCACCACU